rnacentral:rRNA from 1 species
UACGAAGGGGGCUAGCGUUGUUCGGAAUUACUGGGCGUAAAGGGCGCGCAGGCGGUUCCUCAAGUCAGGCGUGAAAGCCCCGGGCUCAACCUGGGAACUGCGCUCGAGACUGCGGGACUGGAGUUCGGGAGAGGAGAGCGGAAUUCCCAGUGUAGAGGUGAAAUUCGUAGAUAUUGGGAAGAACACCGGUGGCGAAGGCGGCUCUCUGGACCGACACUGACGCUGAGGCGCGAAAGCGUGGGGAGCAAACAGG